GAGAAGUUGGCUCAGUGGUAGAGUGCUUGCCUUGCAUGCAUGAAGCCCUGAGUUUGAUUCCUCA
rnacentral:tRNA from 1 species